GACAGAGGGUGCAAACGUUGUUCGGAUUUACUGGGCGUAAAGCGCGUGUAGGCGGCUUUGCAAGUCGGAUGUGAAAGCCCACGGCUCAACCGUGGAAGUGCAUCCGAAACUGCAUGGCUGGAGUCUCGGAGAGGAAGGUGGAAUGCUUGGUGUAGAGGUGAAAUUCGUAGAUAUCAAGCAGAACACCUGCGGCGAAGGCGGCCUUCUGGACGAUGACUGACGCUGAGGCGCGAAAGCGUGGGGAGCAAACAGG
rnacentral:rRNA from 1 species